AUUAGCAAAGCCAGCCAAAAGGAGCUCUCUGAUAGAUGGGGUCCUUCGCCAGAGCAGCUCAUUUCCUGGUACUCCUUCAGAUCGUGCUGUUCGUCGUCUCCGCUAUCAUCAUGAGCGGCUCCGUCUGCCAAGGAGCCCGAGGGAUCAGUGGUGGCGCUCUGGACCCUAACAGUCCUGCAUGCAUCAACGGAUCGUGUGGUCGUGGUGAUCCCUAUACUGGUCGACCGUGCAGUGUAAAGUACAGGUGCAUACCACCGGCUGUUAAGCCAUAAAACCAGCAGACCCAGGACCCCUUCCAGAACCAGAAUAAUAGAAGGAUAUACUGCUCGACUUUGAUGAAUGCAUCCUUCUAACAGUACAACUUAAUUACUGUCACGAUCUUGUACUGAACUUGUAUACUUUAAGACCGCAAAUAAAAUUUGGAUAUGUCGCACUGUUA